rnacentral:misc_RNA from 1 species
CCCUUGCCUUUCGCCUUGAUUGUGUGUGCUUGUGCGCGUUUCUUUGUCUCUUCGUCCCCUUAUUGUAGCCACAGCUGCGCCCCCUCCCCCCCCCUCUGCCGCCUGGUCACUCCUCCUUAUCGCAUCCUUCACAUCCUCAUGUCAGCCUGCAUCCGUACUGCUCUCUCCGGCACUAACGUGCCGAUGAUGGCCGCGGGGCUCUCUGGCGGCCUCGGUGUGGUGCUCGGUGCCCUCGGCUCGCACGCGUUUCUCGAGCUUAUGGACACGAACCAGUUUAAGGCGUACAACAUAGCGAACCAGUACCACCUCGUCCAUUCCGUGGCGAUGCUUGUGGUGGCGGCGAUAGCGCCCCGCGUCGCAGAGCCGGCCGCUACCCACUUCCGUCGCGCCUAUGCCCUCUUCGCCUGUGGCACAGUGGUGAUGGCUAGCUCGCGCUACAUCUACAGCACGGUACACAAGCCACACUUCCUGAGCAAGCUCCCCACUGUGGGUGGUGCGAUGCUCGCGGCCGGAUGGGUGUGCGUCGCUCUUGGCGGCUCCGUCACGAAGCACUAGGAAGAAAGAGAAGCGGUGCCCUGCGCAUGGCAAGCAAGGAGAGAGAGCGGAAAGGCAAGCGUGCAUUGCUCGCACUUAAAAUGCGGCAGCGUUGGUUGCGCUGCACCCUCUCCCUGCCUCGAUUCCUGUCAAGGGUAGAGGGACGCGCACGUGGGCCGGAAUGGGAGCAAGAGGGAGGGACGGUGAUGAGGAUGCCGAAGCAAGCGGAAGAAACAAGUUGGGAGGGAGAGAAAAAGAUGGGAUAGAAGAUGUGGAGGAAGUAGCACUCAAGUGAGAAUCGAUGCCGUGCGCCGCUGCAAAACAGGCGGCGGCAGACCUCUUUUUCUUCGUCUUUCUGUUGCUGAUACCGCUCAUUCCCCCCACCCUCUCCUCACCUCGCCCUCUUUUUUUCACGUGCGCUGCUUAGCGUGUACACGUGCACAUGGGGUUUGCGCGUCGCUCGCUACAAUGAGCACACGCACAAAUCCGAAAAGGGCAGAUACUGACGUUUUUUGUGUGUGUGUAUGUGGGUCUUCCCGACGUUCCCUUUCUGUCCUCAUCCCCCCUUUGCUGUCGUCUGUGUCUUUUGCUCGUGCUGAUGUUGGAGUGCGUCCAACAGCACCGACACUUCGCGGGAACGUUGCCGAAGCUCCCAUCCUGCCCCCUCCCCUUUCGGAAAACGGGGGGAGAAGAGGUGCAGCAUCUUCGCUUGGCGCCGUGCAUCGGCUUAUUUCGUAUAUUUCGUGUGUGUGUGUGUGUGUGUGUUUUGUGCGCCUCCUUCUAUUUUCGAUAUUUGCGAGCGUGAUGGCGGUAAUCUUAUUUUUCUCGCGUGUGCGUGUGCGUUGUUGUUGUUCUCCAAUGAUGAUGGUGAUGGGGCGCUGAUUGACUGUCAUCGCUCUUGUUGUAUUUUCCUUGUCAUGAGCGGUUUGGCUGUGAGAGAUGACGAAAGCGAAAGGGAGAGUACCGCGGUGGCGGGGAGAGUGAGCGUAGCACGCCUGGGAGGGAGGGAGGAGGCUGCUGUGUGGUACCGGCGCGUUCGCUUGUGCGGCUGAGGCCACCUUUUUGCGAGGGUGGGCAGCUGCAGCCGUGGCACACGUGGCAUCUCGCACCCCCUCCCAACCCGAAACCUGCACGUGGUCAUUCAGUGUCCCAUCCUUGAAAACUCGCGCCUCGAUGAUUGCCCUCCGAAACGUAGCGGGAAAAACGACGCUCCUGCAAAAAAAAAGUCUAUACACACAUAUACACAUAUAUAUAUAAACAAGAGCGAAAGAAUGCCAGGACACAAGAGGUGCUCCGACACGCCGUGGACGAGCAUAGGAUAGCGAGUGCGACGCAAAAAAAAAAAAAUCUUAAAGAAAAAGAGGGAGGGAGAACAACGUGUUGUGAUCGGCAAUCACCAACGUAGAAAAAUGCGGUCAGCAACCGGAGGCGAGCGGGUAGGAGGAAUGCGCCAUUUUGUUGAUCGCUUGCUCACAUGCACCUGGCAUCGCCCAUGGCAAAGCAAUAUAAAAAAAAUGAGAAAGUGAGUACUCGGCAGAUGUCGAGAUCGCACGGCAGCUCGUGAAGGACGUGUCUGUGUUCGUGUCUUUGCCUCAGCGUCUGCCACUAGCGCAAUGUGGUGUCUUCUCUUUCUUGCUUUGGGGGGCUUCUUGUUUCUUCGCUUUCAUCUCGCCCGUUGUGUUCCGCAUGCGCGCACCUCCCUCUCUGAUUUUUUCCCUCCGUGAUGAAUGGUUGUAGUUGGAGCUCAUAAUGCCCCGCGUAGGCGCACUG